GAAAAUACACACACACACAAAAGAAAAAGAAGCCAAAUCCGGAAUAAAAAAACGGUUGAGGGCGCUUCUCACCACGACCCCUCCACUAUUUUUCUUAUGUUUAUGUUUAUCAUUUCAUUUCAUGUGUCAUU
rnacentral:ribozyme from 1 species